rnacentral:sRNA from 1 species
AUGGUAGAUAACUACUUCGAGAGUUGC